rnacentral:rRNA from 1 species
UACGAAGGGGGCUAGCGUUGUUCGGAAUUACUGGGCGUAAAGCGCGCGCAGGCGGUCUUCCAAGUCAGUGGUGAAAGCCCGGAGCUCAACUCCGGAACUGCCAUUGAAACUGUGAGACUUGAGGAUGAGAGAGGUGAGUGGAAAUCCCAGUGUAGAGGUGAAAUUCGUAGAUAUUGGGAAGAACACCGGUGGCGAAGGCGGCUCACUGGCUCAUUUCUGACGCUCAGGCGCGACAGCGUGGGGAUCAAACAGG